UACGGAGGAUGCGAGCGUUAUCCGGAUUUAUUGGGUUUAAAGGGUGCGUAGGCGGACGCUUAAGUCAGCGGUAAAAUUGCGGGGCUCAACCUUGUCGAGCCGUUGAAACUGGGUGUCUUGAGUGGGCGAGAAGUACGCGGAAUGCGUGGUGUAGCGGUGAAAUGCAUAGAUAUCACGCAGAACUCCGAUUGCGAAGGCAGCGUACCGGCGCCCAACUGACGCUGAAGCACGAAGGCGUGGGUAUCGAACAGG
rnacentral:rRNA from 1 species